GAUGAACGCUGGCGGCGUGCCUAAUACAUGCAAGUCGAGCGAACAGACGAGGAGCUUGCUCCUCUGACGUUAGCGGCGGACGGGUGAGUAACACGUGGAUAACCUACCUAUAAGACUGGGAUAACUUCGGGAAACCGGAGCUAAUACCGGAUAAUAUAUUGAACCGCAUGGUUCAAUAGUGAAAGACGGUUUUGCUGUCACUUAUAGAUGUAUCCGCGCCGCAUUAGCUAGUUGGUAAGGUAACGGCUUACCAAGGCAACGAUGCGUAGCCGACCUGAGAGAGUGAUCGGCCACACUGGAACUGAGACACGGUCCAGACGCCUACGGGAGGCAGCAGUAGGGAAUCUUACGCAAUGGGCGAAAGCCUGACGGAGCAACGCCGCGUGAGUGAUGAAGGUCUUCGGAUCGUAAAACUCUGUUAUUAGGGAAGAACAAAUGUGUAAGUAACUAUGCACGUCUUGACGGUACCUAAUCAGAAAGCCACGGCUAACUACGUG
rnacentral:rRNA from 1 species